rnacentral:rRNA from 1 species
GAUGAACGCCGGCGGUGUGCCUAAUACAUGCAAGUCGAACGCGUUGGCCCAAUUGAUUGAUGGUGCUUGCACCUGAUUGAUUUUGGCCGCCAACGAGUGGCGGACGGGUGAGUAACACGUAGGUAACCUGCCCAGAAGCGGGGGACAACAUUUGGAAACAGAUGCUAAUACCGCGUAACAACGUUGUUCGCAUGAACAACGCUUAAAAGAUGGCUUCUCGCUAUCACUUCUGGAUGGACCUACGGUGCAUUAGCUUGUUGGUGGGGUAAUGGCCUACCAAGGCGAUGAUGCAUAGCCGAGUUGAGAGACUGAUCGGCCACAAUGGGACUGAGACACGGCCCAUACUCCUACGGGAGGCAGCAGUAGGGAAUCUUCCACAAUGGGCGCAAGCCUGAUGGAGCAACACCGCGUGAGUGAAGAAGGGUUUCGGCUCGUAAAGCUCUGUUGUUAAAGAAGAACACGUAUGAGAGUAACUGUUCAUACGUUGACGGUAUUUAACCAGAAAGUCACGGCUAACUACGUGCCAGCAGCCGCGGUAAUACGUAGGUGGCAAGCGUUAUCCGGAUUUAUUGGGCGUAAAGAGAGUGCAGGCGGUUUUCUAAGUCUGAUGUGAAAGCCUUCGGCUUAACCGGAGAAGUGCAUCGGAAACUGGAUAACUUGAGUGCAGAAGAGGGUAGUGGAACUCCAUGUGUAGCGGUGGAAUGCGUAGAUAUAUGGAAGAACACCAGUGGCGAAGGCGGCUAUCUGGUCUGCAACUGACGCUGAGACUCGAAAGCAUGGGUAGCGAACAGGAUUAGAUACCCUGGUAGUCCAUGCCGUAAACGAUGGGUGCUAGGUGUUGGAGGGUUUCCGCCCUUCAGUGCCGGAGCUAACGCAUUAAGCACUCCGCCUGGGGAGUACGACCGCAAGGUUGAAACUCAAAGGAAUUGACGGGGGCCCGCACAAGCGGUGGAGCAUGUGGUUUAAUUCGAAGCUACGCGAAGAACCUUACCAGGUCUUGACAUCUUGCGCCAACCCUAGAGAUAGGGCGUUUCCUUCGGGAACGCAAUGACAGGUGGUGCAUGGUCGUCGUCAGCUCGUGUCGUGAGAUGUUGGGUUAAGUCCCGCAACGAGCGCAACCCUUGUUACUAGUUGCCAGCAUUAAGUUGGGCACUCUAGUGAGACUGCCGGUGACAAACCGGAGGAAGGUGGGGACGACGUCAGAUCAUCAUGCCCCUUACGACCUGGGCUACACACGUGCUACAAUGGACGGUACAACGAGUCGCGAACUCGCGAGGGCAAGCAAAUCUCUUAAAACCGUUCUCAGUUCGGACUGCAGGCUGCAACUCGCCUGCACGAAGUCGGAAUCGCUAGUAAUCGCGGAUCAGCAUGCCGCGGUGAAUACGUUCCCGGGCCUUGUACACACCGCCCGUCACACCAUGAGAGUUUGUAACACCCAAAGUCGGUGGGGUAACCUUUUAGGAGCCAGCCGCCUAAGGUGGGACAGAUGAUUAGGGUG